GACCAAUGUAGGUAAGGGAAGUCGGCAAAACGGAUCCGUAACCUUGGGAUAAGGAUUGGCUCUGAGGACUGAGCCGGUCGGGCUGGGGACCUGAAGCAGGAACGGCACUGCACCGGGACUGGGCGGGGCUCGCCGUUCACGCGGCGCGGCCAAGCCCGGACCAGCGUCGGGACCUUCCUGUGGAAAGCCUCAGCUGCGCGGCGUCUGAGGGCUUCGUGCCCAAAGUGCUAUGCUUCGGCCGGCAAAAAACAGUCAACUCAGAACUGGCACGGACCGGGGGAAUCCGACUGUCUAAUUAAAACAAAGCAUUGCGAUGGCCGCUGGUCGGUGUUGACGCAAUGUGAUUUCUGCCCAGUGCUCUGAAUGUCAACGUGAAGAGAUUCAUCAAAGCGCGGGUAAACGGCGGGAGUAACUAUGACUCUCUUGUGAGCGGGCUUAGCGCACGCGUUGGAUCACAGAGGGUAGCCCCGAUAGGAUC
rnacentral:ncRNA from 1 species